UACGUAGGGGGGCGAGCGUUUGUCCGGAUUUAUUGGGCGUAAAGAGCUCGUAGGCGGUUUGGCAAGUCGGGUGUGAAAACUCCGGCUCAACUCGGAGACGCCACUCGAUACUGCUAUGACUCGAGUCCGGUAGGGGAGUGCGGAAUUCCUGGUGUAGCGGUGAAAUGCGCAGAUAUCAGGAGGAACACCGGUGGCGAAGGCGGGUCUCUGGGCCGAUGAUCGACGCUGAGGAGCGAAAGCGUGGGGAGCGAACAGG
rnacentral:rRNA from 1 species